AUGGCUGAAGAGGAAAUCAAAGCGUCAAGCUAUCUGGGAAUAUCUGAGGAAUAUAACGUUACACAUGGACUAGCUUUGUGCCUCAAGAACCAACACUCCGUGUUUGUACCGACACUGCCAGAUGUCAGCAGCUGGCUGAGGUUUCGCUGCACAGCUCCUCCUUACGCCACGCAGACGUGCCCCUGGUCUUCUCCGAGGCUCCUGCUGCAGCUCCUGGGCUUGUGCUGGCAGAGACAGCAGGGACCGGUCACCGACGAGCUUCCCCAAGUACCGGAGCCUCUGCACUGCAUUAUAGCUACAGUUACGCACUUGGUGGUUUUUCAGCCUGUAAUUUAACACUUGCAUCAUGGGACUAUGAUAAGUUUCGGGGGCUGCACUCACCAGUAUGCCCGCUUUGCUCCUGCUUCGCAGCCAGUAGAUGCUCGGAGUGCAGCAGACCCUGCCUGACUGCAAAACGCAGCGAGUCACACCGACACGGCUAUCGUGAUUCACGCACAAAGGUCGUUUCAAAGCAGAUUUUUAUUUGCCACCAUUAUUUUUAACAUUAAAACAAGACUAUUACUGAGUAAUCUGACUGUUACUCACUGUUGAUAAGUCUUUGGGAAAUCUUUUUCACUUGCUAGACUGAGGAAACUAAAAGAAUAGGCUGUAUUUCAGAUAUUGUGAGCUGCUAAAUGUGUACUGUAGCUCUUUAGCAGCUUUGGGAAAAAUCAAGGCCCUGAAGCUAAGUGCAGCUGCAGCACGCUCUGAGAAGCCGGCCUGUCCCCUCCAAGGGGAGGUCUCUGCCCCGCGAUCACUUGCUGUGCUUCUUCACAAAAGCAGUUUUCAUCAAUUUUUAUCUGUCCUGCAUCAGAAAUUAUUCACAACAAGCAUUCAGCUAUAGUCAGUAGGACUACCAAAGCUGUAGGUGUUCGCCAGAUGUGUCUUAAAGAAAGCGGCAGUUGGAAGAAAGGAAUGCCUCCUCAUACUGACUUCGAUUGUCCUGUGCCCUCUGAUUGUCCGUGCCAUUCCUCGCUUUUUGUAAAAUCUGUUUCACAGGUCGAUGACCAAAGCUCAAACACAAGGUUGUCCAGGCAGCUGUCUCUCUAGAAAUGUGCUCUCUGAAUGCACUGCAGCAAAAGCUAUCUCCUGUGAAAUCUAAUUUAAUACAUUAAUGUGGAUUCAUAAAACAAAGUCACACAUUGCGCAAGCAAUGUUAUUUGUGGCACUGGCAUCUUACUGAUUACAGCAAUAAAUAAUACAGUGUAUAUCA
rnacentral:lncRNA from 1 species